rnacentral:rRNA from 1 species
CGGUGGUGAUGGCUAAGGGGAUCCACCUGUUCCCAUCCCGAACACAGUAGUUAAGCCCUUAAACGCCGAAAGUACUUGGGGGGAAGCCCCCUGGGAGGAUAGGAAAUCGC